rnacentral:rRNA from 1 species
AUUGAACGCUGGCGGCAGGCCUAACACAUGCAAGUCGAACGAGUGGCGGACGGGUGAGUAAUGUCUGGGAAACUGCCCGAUGGAGGGGGAUAACUACUGGAAACGGUAGCUAAUACCGCAUACCAUCGGAUGUGCCCAGAUUGGAUUAGCUAGUAGGUGGGGUAACGGCUCACGUAGGCGACGAUCCCUAGCUGGUCUGCAAGGAUGACCAGCCACACGGGAACUGAGACACGGUCCAGACUCCUACGGUAGGCAGCAGUGGGGAAGAUUGCACAAUGGGCGCAAGCCGGAUGAAGCCCUGCCGAGUGUAUGAAGAAGGCCUUAGGGUUGUAAAGUACUUUCAGUGGGGAGGCGUUACCCGCAGAAGAAGCACCGGCUAACUCCGUGCCAGCGGCCGCGGUAAUUC